rnacentral:tRNA from 1 species
ACGGGUGUGGCUCAGCUGGUAGAGCAGUGGUCUCCAAAACCAAAGGUCGUAGGUUCGAUCCCUACCACCCGUG